UACAACGCUCUGGCUCUGGAGGAUGAUGUAUAUAUCCAAAGUUUGACAUGGCAUUUUGAAAAGAAAAAUGUCUCAUUUGUUUGGUGAGAAACGGCAACACUGACGGACAGAUUGGCAUAGCCAUAGGAGAGAGAGCAUCUGUCGGUGAAUACAGAAACAGCCUGAUGACACAUAUGAACACUGAAACAUAGCAGACACAGAACACCUGGCAGAAAGAAGGGCAGAAUUGGACAGAGAGAACCAGCUGAGCUGGAAGAAGUGGGACAAAUGGGGCAGCAGCUAUUGGGCCUGAACCACAGUCAUGAGCUUGGAUGAUGAAGGUGUACUCCUUUUGCAACUCGCAGUCCACCAGGCCACGAGCCCUCAGCUGACCCUCGCCAGACGUUCCAUUCAACACCACUGCCUUGAACGGAGCCUCCAGUCCAUGAAUGUUGAAUGCACAGAUCUCUCCUAGAAAGCAGAAGGAAAGAGAGAGAAAUAGGGAAGGGAGUUAUGGAAAGCCCACUGGACCUGAGAAGUCAAACUGCUUUCCGUCACUGCAAACGCAACAGAAUCCAUAGUGAAAGUUUGAGGAUUUUUCAUUGUUUUGUCUUCAGAACAAAUUAAAGCUGCAAACAUAACUGCA